AUAACUAGUGCCUUUCAACCCAGAAAGGCUACGAAUGCCUUUUUCAAGCUCGGAUACGACACGAGAACAAAUAAAAGGAAAAAGAGAGUGAGAGGAGAAUCCAGAAACAGAUUGCUCAAUGGUCAAUUGGGCAAUGGGGUUUCGUUCUUUUUCCAAAAUUUGUGAACCCGUUGAGAAAGUUUCUGCAUUUUGGAGUAAUGUAAAUAGUCAGCGAAAGGGUAUUUGUAAUUCUGCAAAAGUUGGAGUCCUUUAUUGGGGAUGCUUGGAAACAAGAUUUCUGGAGCAGAAGGAGGCUAUUAGGGCAACUGCGUUCGCUGAUUCAAUUGUGCGAGGAAAUGUUUUUUGGAGAUUUAAGGGAAAUUAUGUACAGUUAAGACCAUUCUUUGGAAGCAGUGAGGGUAAUGGGGGUCAGUUGGACAGAGAUUUUCUUGAACAGUUAAUGGAUUGCUGAUAGGAAAUUUGAGAAGUCUAGAUAAAAAAGAAGAAGAAAAGUUGUUAAGAGUAAGAAUUAUGGUAAAAAGGUUUAUGAUGCUGGGCCACAAGGAAGAUGGUAUUCAGGUUCUGCGUCCCAGAAGCAAAUUCUUAUGUGCAGGGUAAACCAGUUCUGCAUCAACCUCCUGUCAGUCAGUCUAUCACUGGCUUUUUCAAAUCUGUGUGCUCGGAGGAGGUGAAUUUGUUUUUCUUUUGCUUUAAAGUUUUUAUUAUAUGAUUUUAUUGCUUGUUUUGUUAUGGUUAUGUUAUACGGUGUGAAUGCUCUUUUGUUCCUUGAUAGAACAUGUCUUGCAAAAGCAUCAGCAUAUUGAAUUUAUAACAUUUCAGUUAUUGCAUCAUUACUAUGUGAUGGUUAUGAACUUCUUCAGCAACACAUCCUGAUUCAGUUUCUAAUUCCUUAACUGAAUAAAUCCUUUAAUAUAAUCAUGUAUCUGUGUUUGUGUUUUCUAGUUUUGUCACUGGGGUAAAAUAGGGGUUGGGGGGGGUGGGGCAUCAUGUUAAUAUGUGCUUUGACGUGCACAAAUUUUCUGUGUAGUUCCAUUGAGAAUUACAUGGUAUUGACGUAGGACCUGUAUUUGGGACCAAAGUUGUUGAUUUUGUUGUUGUGGCAAAGUUCUUCUUAAUCAGACUCAUGGCCAAUGAUUUGGCAAUUUACCUAGGUGCCUUUGUUGGUAGUUUGGUAGGUUCUAAGUCAAUUAAAAACAAUCAUCUGUUCACCUGAGUUGCCAGACCAAUGCUAAUGUGAUAUGAACCUGCUGUUGCUGCCGAAGAUUGCUGCUGGAUGUUCCUGCUAUUUCCUGCUCAAGUGCUAGUGUUGCUGUGUUUAUGCUCAAGAACAAAAAUAAUAGAAGAACUAGGAUAAAAUGUAUUCUGUACUCAUUGAAAUUGUAAAUACUCAAAGCAACAGUGUAAUGGAAAGUUUCUUAUAUUAGUAGAUGAUGUUCAGAAUUACAGUAA